rnacentral:ncRNA from 1 species
GGACAAGGGGAAUAUGACUAUUUAAUUAAAACAAAUAAUUGUGAUGGUCCAUGUGGAUGUUGACGCAAUGUGAUUUCUUCCUAGUGCUCUGAAUGUUAAAGUGAAUAAAUUCAACCAAGCACAGGUAAAGGGCGGGUGUAACUAUGACUCUCUUAAGGUAUCCAAUUCAAUUGUUUCUUGCCAAAUAAUACAAGAUUAGAUUUUCCC